GUCGAACGCUGGCGGCGUGCCUAAUACAUGCAAGUCGAGCGCCGUUCCGAACGGGUGAGUAACGCGUCGGUGACUUCCUGGUAGCGGGGGGUAACCAUUUGAAACGAUAGGUAAUUCCGCAUAGUACCCGAUGGACCUGCGUUGUAUUAGCUAGUAGGUGGGGCAACGGCUAACAAAGGCAACGAUACAUAGCCGACCUGAGAGGGUGAUCGGCCACACUGGGACUGAGACACGGCCCAGACUCCUACGGGAGGCAGCAGUGGGGAAUCUUCGGCAAUGGACGGAAGUCUGACGGAGCAACGCCGCGUGAGUGAAGAAGGUUUUCGGAUCGUAAAACUCUGUUGUUAGAGAAGCGGUAUCUAACCAGAAAGGGACGGCUAACUACGUGCCAGCAGCCGCGGUAAUUC
rnacentral:rRNA from 1 species